UACAGGGGGGGCAAGCGUUGUUCGGAAUUACUGGGCGUAAAGGGUCUGUAGGUGGCCAACUAAGUCAGACGUGAAAUCCCUCAGCUUAACUGGGGAACUGCGUCUGAUACUGGAUGGCUUGAGUGUGGGAGAGGAAUGCGGAAUUCCAGGUGUAGCGGUGAAAUGCGUAGAUAUCUGGAGGAACACCGGUGGCGAAGGCGGCAUUCUGGACCAUAACUGACACUGAGAGACGAAAGCCAGGGUAGCAAACGGG
rnacentral:rRNA from 1 species